CCCACUGAACACGCUGGAAGCAUAGAAAGUGAAACUCAAGAGCUGCUGCGGUGACGGUUUCCUAUGGACAACAUGAGGCUGCUCCUCCCUUUUCAACCAGGCGGACACAGAAGCAAGCGGGGUGCCGUGAAUCAGCUCAGAGUCUAGCUUUUAAAUUAAAAGUUUGACUGGAACCCUGGCCCGCUUCUUUAAGUGUAGGUGGGUGAAGGAGAAGAGACCCCGCAUGUGGCCACUGUGUCUGUUUUAUAACCUCAGUCCCGUGUGCUUGGGGAGCACAAGUCCAGGAAUAUCUGGGGGCAUUGCUGAGUCUCCUGGCAAGGUUGAGCAGUUCCCCUGGUGUGGUGUCAUGCAGAUGGCUGUGUUUUACCUGUGAGUCUUCCUGUAUACGUGUGUGCUGGCAAGUGGG